AACGAACGCUGGCGGCAUGCCUAACACAUGCAAGUCGAACGAGACCUCCGGGUUCAGUGGCUCACGGGUGCGUAACGCGUUGGAUCCUGCCCUUAUGUUCUGAAUAACUCCCUGAAAUGGGUUCUAAUACCGGAUAAUGUUUUCGGACCAAAGAUUUAUCGGCUUUGGAUGGGCCCGCGUUGGAUUAGCUAGUUGGUAGGGUAAAAGCCUACCAAGGCGACGAGCCAUAGUUGGACUGAGAGGAUGAUCAGCCGGACUGGGACAGGGACCCGACCCCGACUCCUGGGGGAAGCAGGGAUGGGGGAAAAAUGGGAGUGGGCGAGAGGCUGAUCCAGCGUGGGCGGGUGGAUGGUGAAGGGCUUAUGGUUGGAAAGCUCUUUUACCCGGGAUGAGAAUGACAGUACCGGGAAAAUAAGCACCGGCUAACUCCGUG
rnacentral:rRNA from 1 species